AACCCACUGAGCCACCCAGGCGCCCCUAUCUCUUCUUUUCUGAAUGACAUCCUUGCUAGACAAAGUAUUCUUGGUGGCAUAUUUUUCUCAUAUAGCACUCUGAAUAUAUCAUGGUAGUCCUUUCUGGCCUGCCAGGUGUCUAUGGAUAGGUGUGGUGCCAGCUUUAUGUUUCUAUCCUUAUAGGUUAAGGUCCUCUAGUCUGGAGCUGCUUUCAGGAUUUCCUUUGUCUCUGAAAUUUGCAAGCUUCACUAUUUUAUGUCA